UUUGCGCAAUGGGCGAAAGCCUGACGCAGUAACGCCGUGUGGAGGAUGAAGGCCCUCGGGUUGUAAACUCCUGUCAGGAGGAACGAAGGUAGUAAGGUAAAUAGCCUUACUCUCUGACAGUACCUUCAAAGGAAGCCCCGGCUAAUUCCGUGCCAGCAGCCGCGGUAAUACGGAAGGGGCAAGCGUUGUUCGGAAUUAUUGGGCGUAAAGGGCGCGUAGGCGGCCUUGUAUGUCUGCUGUAAAAGCACACAGCUCAACUGUGUAACGUCAGUGGAAACUGCAAGGCUUGAGGUUGGGAGAGGCUGGUGGAAUUUCCCUGUGUAGCGGUGGAAUGCGUAGAUAUAGGGGAGAACACUCGUGGCGAAGGCGGCCAGCUGGACCAGACCUGACGCUGAGGUGCGAUAGCGUGGGGAGCAAACAGGAUUAGAUACCCUGGUAGUCCACGCUGUAAAACGAUGGGNCACUAGGUGUUGGCGGUAUUGAUUUCCGUCGGCGCCGGC
rnacentral:rRNA from 1 species